AGUCAUCGAGGAGAGGAACAUCGCACUCGGGAUGCGCAUCAAGAUAACUAACACGGCACUCUGAGACCAGCAUCUUGUCAGAGAGCUGAUGAAGAUGAUUAUGCUCCCCACCGAUUGGGAAGAAAGGAAGACCCACCCAAUCGACGAGAUUAUUACGGGCUGUUAUGCAUCGCUGUUGUCAGUAAGUCCAAGCACCCUUCCACUCGAUAUUUAUUUAUAUAUUGAUCCUUUUUUGAGUUUCUAACUUAGAAAAAUUUUGACUUCUUGCAGUUAGCACACGAUGCCACUAUUCUAUAUAAGGGAUCGAUCGGCUUCAGCUGCCUCGAUCAUUCACUAAAGAGCCAGGUCUAGAGCACGAAUGCUCAGGCCAAAAUUAUUGAUGAGCUUCUUCGAUCUAUAGAAGAGCAGAUGAAGAAGUAUCAAUAGGAGAUGGCUCCUUCUCGAGAUAGGAUCGCCGAGCUUGAAUCUUGGUUGAAGAAAAAGGAGGAGGAAGCCGAGAAACAGAAAGCAACAAUUUCCGACUUCGAAAAGAAAAUUGGGCUGGCCA
rnacentral:lncRNA from 1 species